UCCGUAGGUGAACCUGCGGAAGGAUCAUUACCGAGUUUUCGAGCUUCGGCUCGACUCUCCCACCCUUUGUGAACGUACCUCUGUUGCUUUGGCGGCUCCGGCCGCCAAAGGACCUUCAAACUCCAGUCAGUAAACGCAGACGUCUGAUAAACAAGUUAAUAAACUAAAGCUUUCAACAACGGAUCUCUUGGUUCUGGCAUCGAUGAAGAACGCAGCGAAAUGCGAUAAGUAAUGUGAAUUGCAGAAUUCAGUGAAUCAUCGAAUCUUUGAACGCACAUUGCGCCCCUUGGUAUUCCGGGGGGCAUGCCUGUUCGAGCGUCAUUACAACCCUCAAGCUCUGCUUGGAAUUGGGCACCGUCCUCACUGCGGACGCGCCUCAAAGACCUCGGCGGUGGCUGUUCAGCCCUCAAGCGUAGUAGAAUACACCUCGCUUUGGAGCGGUUGGCGUCGCCCGCCGGACGAACCUUCUGAACUUUUCUCAAGGUUGACCUCGGAUCAGGUAGGGAUACCCGCUGAACUUAAGCAUAUCAAUAAGCGGAGG
rnacentral:rRNA from 1 species